rnacentral:lncRNA from 1 species
GAUGAAAUUGGUCAAAAUUAUAAAAUUCUGAGGAUGAAAUGUGUUCCGAUUGAAAUUUUAGGGAUAAAAUUAUCGAAUAUCCUAAACAAUGGGGAUGAAAAGUGCAUUUUGCCCUUACGAGUAAUGGCGAAGUCAGGUGGAUCUUCCAAUCAAUAACAUUUUAGCGUGUUCACCUCAGCAUUGUCAUCAAUCAAGACCCAAUUGAAAUUUCUGGUAAUUCGUUCUAUCAGACAAGUUUACAAGAAAACAAAAAAAAAACAAUGUCAUCCAAUGGUGGAAAAAGCAAUGGGUUCAGAAUCAAAGAAUUUCCUCAAUUGAAAGGGGAAUUGGCAUUCUUCCGUCAGCCAAAAACAAUAGACUUUAAUCAAGGAAAAAAUUAAUUGUACAGGGCAGUUCCAUUAACCAAAAAAAAAAGAAAAAAAGAAGCUAGUCAAUAGUCCAAAUCUCCACCAUUGCUAACCUUGUUUAAAACUCAGCCAGUAAUAGAAGAUAGUAAUACAAAAGAGGGCCGCAAAUUUACAGGAAUAAAACUUUCUUUUUACUGCAAUUUCCAAGAAAAUCUGGAUACAGAAAGGAAAAGAAGUGUUGAAGGUUAUGAUCUGACGAUCAAUGAUCAGAUAUGACAGCCGCAACAGAGGUAGAAGAAACAGAGAGUUCCGACCAAAACCACAGCCUCAAAAAAAGACACAAUCUUGAAAAGAAUCACGUCAACAAACCACAAGUGCAAAGUGAACCUCCUUUUCCACCGUAGCCCAGUUGAGAAACUUUUGGAACUCCACCUCCCUGAACCACCAGCGCCGCCACUAGCACCUCCACUACCACCACCACCACCACCACGACGUCUGCCACUGCUCUUUUUAUUCAGCCUCUUGAAGAAAAAAGGGAAACUGGGCUUUUUGAACUCCAUUUCCUUCUUCUGAAUUUUGGGAGCUUCUUUUCUUGGUUAGAACUUAGAAAUAAGGAGUUUUUGGUGUCUUCGUUUUCGGUUUGGAUUCCGGAGUCAAUUGGCUCGGAAUAUUAUAAGAAGAACAGAGGAGGGGUAGUUUGGGAAUAAUGAGGAAAUAAAAUUAAAG